rnacentral:snRNA from 1 species
GUGCUCACUUUGGCAGCACAUAUACUAAAAUUGGAACGAUACAGAGAGGAUUAGCAUGGCCCCUGCGCAAUGAUGACAUGCAAAUUUGUAAAACAGUCCAUAUUUUU